UGCGGGGUAGAGCAGUUUGGUAGCUCGCAAGGCUCAUAACCUUGAGGCCACGGGUUCAAAUCCUAUCUCCGAAA
rfam:Nicotiana sylvestris Nsyl_contig325760, whole genome shotgun sequence.